CAGAACGAACGCUGGCGGCGCGUCUUAAGCAUGCAAGUCGAACGGCAAGAGGUAGCAAUACCUCCUAGAGUGGCGGACUGGUGAGUAACACGUGGGUGACAUACCCUUCAGAUGGGGAUAGCUAUUAGAAAUAGUAGAUAAUACCGAAUACGAGCACAGGGGGUUAGAGAUCUGUGAGGAAAGGAGCUAAGGCUCCGCUGAAGGAAUGGCCUGCGGCCCAUUAGCUAGUUGGUGAGGUAAGAGCCCACCAAGGCGAUGAUGGGUAUCCGGCCUUAGAGGGUGAACGGACACAUUGGGACUGAGAUACGGCCCAGACUCCUACGGGAGGCAGCAGCUAAGAAUAUUCCGCAAUGGACGAAAGUCUGACGGAGCGACGCCGCGUGGAUGAAGAAGGCCGGAAGGUUGUAAAAUCCUUUUGAAACUGAAGAAUAAGCGUUGUAGGGAAUGACAGCGUGGUGACAGUAGGUUUUGAAUAAGCAACGGCUAAUUACGUGCCAGCCGCAGC
rnacentral:rRNA from 1 species